rnacentral:rRNA from 1 species
CCCUUAGAUGUCCUGGGCCGCACGCGCGCUACACUGAGUGUCUGAGAUACGAGUCUGCCUGGUCCGGCAAGGUCUAGGUAAUCGCUAAAAGACACAUCAUGCUUGGGCUAGAUUUUUGUAAGUCUUGAUCUCUAACGAGGAAUCCCUAGUAUGCGUGAAUCAUCAAUCCAUGCAGAUUAUGUCCCUGCCCUUUGUACACACCGCCCGUCGCUCCUACUGAUUGGGUGAUCCGGUGAGCUGUUCGGCCAUAGCAAUGUUUCUUGAGCAGGGCAAUGAAUGUUUCGCAAACCUUGCCACUUAGAGGAAGGAGAAGUCGUAACA